UCUGACCUGAGCCAAAGUUGGAGGCGUAACCAACUGAGCCAACCAGGUGCCCCAAGAUCCAGCCUCUAUUUCUAAGAACUCUGACAUUGAAUAUAUGAUUCCCUUCCAUCAGAAACACUGCCCCUGUGUUCCCUUCCCCCCCAUCAUUUUGCCCCUUGUCUCUCCCCCCAGAAUGCCAUAUCUUAUUAGAAGUUAUUGUGCUUGUAGGAAUAGAGAACAUUACAGCACGCCGAGAUGUGGAAGCUGGGGAGUGGCUGAGCCUAUACUAGCUAAUGACCUGAACAUCGUGGCACUGGGCCUACAUUUGAACUUCAGUAAAAUGACAAGACCUCACACAUUGGACCUGCAGAGUUAACUCAGCUCUCAGCUGGAAUCCAGACCGAAUUAGGAAGACCAGACAGAGGGAGGCAUUUUACUGACUGAAUAGACCGUCAUGGGCUGGAGAACUGGCAGCAGGAGGCAACUUUGGAAGCUCACCCUUCCCUCAGCUAAAGCACAGCAGGGCCUGCUGUCCACGGCCAAGAAAGCGUAUAGCUAAGCACUUACAGCCAUGAUUCCGUCCCAGCUCCUAGAGCUCUGGCUCACUGAAAAAUACAGCCCAAUAGCUGGGAAUUCCCGGCUGGCACUGGGGCUUCUACGCCAUCAGGCAUCAUGGCAGAUGUGACGGGAACCAACAAAAGCCUCUUGAGGAAAUCCUUGGUUCUAAAGGUCCAUAACCUUCGUGAUACUAGAGCAAAGUUGUUUAGGCCAUGAAAUUUCAUCAUGCAUAAGCAAAAAUGUGGCAGGAUGUUCAUCACUAGAGCAAGGUAUGCCUAAGAAAUACAGUGAGCUCUAUUCAAAGCACUGAGGGAAGAAGCAUUACUUGAAAGAGGAGAAAUGAGUUCUUAGGUAUAAAAGCAGGAAAAUACCUUAAUUUUAUCUCUAGUGCAUAUUUGCAGUGACAUACCCAGCAUGUCCAGGGAGAUACUGGUACAUUCCAUACAGGAUUCCAGGGCACGAGUCCAAACUUAAAUUUCCUUCUAUGAAGACAGCACCAGAAAGAUCCCGAGUUGUAUCCAUGGGUUUCAUCACUCAUUCCUCCCCUUUGUUAGGAGGCGUGUCUGUAAACAUACUGACACAUAUAUAACAAGAUCAGGAGUGUUGGGGCGGGGUGGGCGUCAUGUGGGGGCCUUCCAGAUCAUGUGUGCACCUCUAGUUCUAUUUCCAUUAGGAGGAAACUUCAGGGGGGAUAAAAGAUAAACAGAGCCAUGCUCCAGUGGCCUCCUCUUUACACUUAUAAAGACAACUUGAAAUGGGAGAACGUUUCAGAUUAAAGAUUCUGCGUCUGUUCUGGAAUAACAGGCAGCCUUCCUAAGGCUUGCUUAUCUCAAAUGGGGAGGCGGGGGCUCAGGGGGUGAGACCACUAACUCAAGUUUUUGGGUCAGUCUGAAAAAUCUCUGUUCUCUCGUACGCUUUAAAAGGCUAACUUUUCCUGAUAACGAGUGUUUCUGGUCAAACACAUCGAACAUGCUGGGCUUUAUUUUUUAAGGUUAUUUAUUUUGAGAGAGAGAGAGAGAUUACAAGUGGGGGAGGGUCAGAAAGAAGGA